CUGGAAACUUUUAGCUGAACAUAGAAGCUUGUUUAAGACUGGUUGGUUAAAUCAGGAUAGAAGAUUUAGAGGAUCCAAUUCCUAUUGAACAAGCUGAGCCUUCACACCAUGAACACAUCAUCACAGCCCUUCAGGAGAGAUUGUGGUCAAGCAAAUAUGUCCUCUGUUUCUCCCAUGGGGAUUACUCACUAGCAAAGAAAUGGAAAUGCCGGGUGAUACCGCCUAAUGUGUCCAAGUAGAAGAAACUGGUGAAAUGAAGGAGGAAGUGGUUCCUGCAUACUGGACAUCUGCAACUGCUUCUGCGUGCACAUGGGGGAAGGCUUCUGCUUCUUUUCAGACAUGCUUUGGACAGUAUGAGAAUUAUUCACUGACAAUACAAGCAAAGUAGAUAGCACUGUGCAGACCAAAUUAGUCUACUGCUAGAAAAUGAGAGAGAGAAGGAAAAAUAAUAUUGCUUUGAGCAUGCUAAAAACUAGCUAGCUCUCCCCUUUCUUUUUCAAAAAUUGAAAAAUCCAUGCUAAUGAUGGCA